GGGACGUAGUAACUCCACCUUACUUCUGAUUACUGAGUCUGCUGUUGAUAGAACAACAAUGAUAAUUCACAUCACCAGGUGGACUCUGGUCUUUGUGAAUCCGAUUCUUCUGCUUGUCUUUCGUCUGUGGACGAGGAAGAAGAAAGCUGUGAGCUCCACCACUGAACAACAUGAGUCCAGAGAGG